rnacentral:rRNA from 1 species
GUACAAGCCGGCGGCAGCUAUGAUGCAGUCGAGCGAAUGGAUUGGAGCGUGCUCUUAUGAAGUUAGGGGCGGACGGGGAGUAACACGUGGGUAACCUGCCCAUAGGAGUGGGAUAACUCCGGGAAACCGGGGCUAAUACCGGAUAACAUUUUGAACCGCAUGGUUCAAAAUUGAAAGGCGGCUUCCGCUGUCACUUAUGGAUGGACCCGCGUCGCAUUAUCUAGUUGGUGAGGUAACGGCUCACCAAGGCAACGAUGCGUACCCGACCUGAGAGGGUGAUGGGCCACACUGGGACUGAGACAGGGCCCACACUCCUACGGGAGGCAGCAGUAGGGAAUCUUCCGCAAUGGACGAAAGUCUGACAGAGCAACGCCGCGUGAGUGAUGAAGGCUUUCGGGUCGUAAAACUCUGUUGUUAGGGAAGAACAAGUGCUAGUUGAAUAAGCUGGCACCUUGACGGUACCUAACCAGAAAGCCACGGCUAACUACGUGCCAGCAGCCGCGGUAAUACGUAGGUGGCAAGCGUUAUCCGGAAUUAUUGGGCGUAAAGCGCGCGCAGGUGGUUUCUUAAGUCUGAUGUGAAAGCCCACGGCUCAACCGUGGAGGGUCAUUGGAAACUGGGAGACUUGAGUGCAGAAGAGGAAAGUGGAAUUCCAUGUGUAGCGGUGAAAUGCGUAGAGAUAUGGAGGAACACCAGUGGCGAACGCGACUUUCUGGUCUGUAACUGACACUGAAGCGCGAAAGCGUGGGGAGCAAACAAGAUUAGAUACCCUGGUAGUCCACGCCGUAAACGAUGAGUGCUAAGUGUUAGAGGGUUUCCGCCCUUUAGUGCUGAAGUUAACGCAUUAAGCACUCCGCCUGGAGAGUACGGCCGCGAGGCUGACACUCAGGGAAUUGACGGGGGGCCCGCACAAGCGGUGGAGCAUGUGGUUUUUAUUUCGAAGCAACGCGAAGAACUUUUACCGGGUCUUUGACAUCCUCUGACACCUCUAGAGAUAGGGCUUCUCUCUUCGGGAGCAGAGUGACAGGUGUGCAUGGAUGUCGUCAGCUCGUGUCGUGAGAUGUGGUUAAGUCCCGCAACGAGCGCAACCCUUUGAUCUAAGUCGCCAUCAUCAGUUGCACCCUAAGUGACUGCCUGUUCACAACCGGAAAGAA